AACGAACGCUGGCGGCAUGCCUAACACAUGCAAGUCGAACGGGAUCCUGGUUUCGGCCAGGUGAGAGUGGCGGACGGGUGAGUAACGCGUGGGAACCUGCCCAGUGGUGGGGGAUAACUGCGGGAAACUGCAGCUAAUACCGCAUGAGCCCGAAAGGGGAAAGAUUGAUCGCCAUUGGAGGGGCCCGCGUUCGAUUAGGUAGUUGGUGAGGUAACGGCUCACCAAGCCUUCGANCGAUAGCUGGUCUGAGAGGAUGAUCAGCCACACUGGGACUGAGAUACGGCCCAGACUCCUACGGGAGGCAGCAGUGGGGAAUAUUGGACAAUGGGGGCAACCCUGAUCCAGCAAUGCCGCGUGAGUGAUGAAGGCCCUCGGGUUGUAAAGCUCUUUUGGCGGGGACGAAUGAUGACGGUACCCCGCAAGAAUAACGCCCCGGCUAACUUCGUGCCAGCAGCCGCCGUAAC
rnacentral:rRNA from 1 species